AUUGAACGCUGGCGGCAUGCCUUACACAUGCAAGUCGAACGGCAGCGCGGGAGCAAUCCUGGCGGCGAGUGGCGAACGGGUGAGUAAUACAUCGGAACGUGCCCAAUCGUGGGGAUAACGCAGCGAAAGCUGUGCUAAUACCGCAUACGAUCUACGGAUGAAAGCAGGGGAUCGCAAGACCUUGCGCGAAUGGAGCGGCCGAUGGCAGAUUAGGUAGUUGGUGAGGUAAAGGCUCACCAAGCCUUCGAUCUGUAGCUGGUCUGAGAGGACGACCAGCCACACUGGGACUGAGACACGGCUCAGACUCCUACGGGAGGCAGCAGUGGGGAAUUUUUGGACAAUGGGCGAAAGACCUGAUCCAGCCAUGCCGCGUGCAGGAUGAAGGCCUC
rnacentral:rRNA from 1 species